GACGAACGCUGGCGGCGUGCUUAACACAUGCAAGUCGAACGGAAAGGCCCUGCUUUUGUGGGGUGCUCGAGUGGCGAACGGGUGUGUAACACGUGAGUAACCUGCCCUUGACUUUGGGAUAACUUCAGGAAACUGGGGCUAAUACCGGAUAGGAGCUCCUGCUGCAUGGUGUGGUUUGGAAAGUUUCGGCGGUUGGGGAUGGACUCGCGGCUUAUCAGCUUGUUGGGGGGGUAGUGGCUUACCAAGGCUUUGACGGGUAGCCGGCCUGAGAGGGGAGCCGGCCACAUUGGGCCUGAGAUACGGCCCAGACUCGAACGGUAGGCAGCGGUGGGGAGUAUUGCACAAUGGGCGGACGCCUGAUGUAGCAACGCCGCGUGCGGGAAGAAGUGCUUCGGGUUGUAAACCGCUGUCGCCUGUGACGAAGCGUGAGUGACGGUACUGGGUAAAGAAGCACCGGCUAACUACGUG
rnacentral:rRNA from 1 species